rnacentral:misc_RNA from 1 species
GAUGAAGAACGCAGCGAAAUGCGAUACGUAAUGUGAAUUGCAGAAUUCAGUGAAUCAUCGAGUCUUUGAACGCACAUUGCGCCCCCUGGUAUUCCGGGGGGCAUGCCUGUCCGAGCGUCAUUGCUGCCCUCAAGCACGGCUUGUGUGUUGGGCCUCCGUCCUCCUCCCGGGGGACGGGCCCGAAAGGCAGCGGCGGCACCGCGUCCGGUCCUCGAGCGUAUGGGGCUUCGUCACCCGCUCUUGUAGGCCCGGCCGGCGCUUGCCGACACAUCAAUCUUUUUUCCAGGUUGACCUCGGAUCAGGUAGGGAUACCCGCUGAACUUAAGCAUUUCAAUAAGCGGAGGA